UUGUUGGAUAUCUACAAGGAAUAGAACUAUCCACUAUUCAGAGUCAUUGAGAGAAUGCUACUCAGUGUGGUAACCCGUCCGGCAAAGUCGUUGUUCGAUCAGCUAACCAUUCUGGUAAAACUACCAGCAGCUACUAUCUACAUUAUCACCAAGGGCGUUUUCCUAAUAGUUAACACGCUAACAAAAUUUGGGCGAAUGAUGAACCAGUGAUAGGAUGGAAAUGAUGGUGCGAUAACAAGUGGUGUGUGUGGCAUAAAAAAUUAGAUCGAUUCCAUCGUCGCAAUUUUGGCACUAUGUGGAAAGUUUUUGUCAGAUUUUAUUUUUUUGCCAGAUUGUGAUGUUAGAUUACACGUAAAAACAUAUGUACAAAUUCGGCGGCAAUGAAAAUAUGUGUAAUAACGUGAAUUUAUGCUUGCCAAUAUAUCUGCUAUUUGUAAUUAAUCUCUAGGAUGUAAAUGGUCUUAGUGAAUGUUAGUAGUAUGACAUAUACUUGCGCAAAUUUUGUAUGUGCAAUGCAUUGCCGGAGAUGAAUUUAUAUUGUAGGGAUGAUCAAAAUGCUAAAGUGAGCAUAGCUUUUCGUCACAAGUAGAUGUGAUACAACUUGUUCUUUCCAAUAAAAUGUUUUAAACUUAAAA